UGGGGAAUCUUCCGCAAUGGGCGAAAGCCUGACGGAGCAACGCCGCGUGAUCGAAUGAAGGCCUUCGGGUUGUAAAGAUCUGUUGACAGGGACGAAUAAGCAAUGCGAAUAGUUUUGUGUAUGACGGUACCUGUUUAGAAAGCUCCGGCUAACUACGUGCCAGCAGCCGCGGUAAUACGUAGGGAGCAAGCGUUGUCCGGAAUUACUGGGCGUAAAGGGCGCGUAGGUGGGCGCUUAAGUCAGGUGUGAAAACUCCGGGCUCAACCUGGAGACUGCACUUGAAACUGGGUGUCUUGAGGGCAGGAGAGGAAAGUGGAAUUCCUAGUGUAGCGGUGAAAUGCGUAGAUAUUAGGAGGAACACCAGUGGCGAAGGCGACUUUCUGGACUGUACCUGACGCUG
rnacentral:rRNA from 1 species